AGGUACUCCCGAAUCUCGCCACAGACGGUGGCCGGGAUAGGGAUAACGGCUGGAUGGCACAGCCAGCGGUUCACUUGUUCGACCGUAGCGAGGGCAGUUUCGCCCCGCGAGAAUAAGGGUCGAACCGCGAACCCCAAUAUCCCAACGCGGUACGGGAAACCCCGGCGUCGUCGGGCGU
rnacentral:ncRNA from 1 species